CCGGCUUUCACUGAAGCCUUAUUACUCUUAAAAGAGCAAUUUGGUUGGUUGCACGGCUAUUAAGGAUCACACAGGCAGCCUGAAAGCUGUCAGUACAACUGCUUCUCAUCUUUUUCACACCAUCCUGACAUCUUUUCUCUUUUCUGCUGGACACAGACAUUACUGUUUUUAUCAUUUUCAAUCAAGCUUACCCAGAACGCUGAGGAAUGUAUUCUCACUGAAAGCAAAGUGGAGAACAGAAAUUAUUUUCUAGCUCCUGGAGUAGAAGCAGUGCUGACUGCGUGCUGAGGAGCAGGAGCAGGAGCCGGAGCCGUGAGAAAUGUAGCUUGGCUCAGGGCUACAUCAGGGAGCUGCUCCUUCAGCUGUUAAAGAUGGCAAAACAACACCUACCUCAGGUUUUUCAAUGAUUAAUGCUAUUUUCAUAACCGGGAGGGAAGAGGAUGUGAGAAAUUUUGUGAAAUUCACUUGUGGAAAUGUUAUCAUCAGAGAAAGUGGGGAAAAUUACUAGGCUGGAACUUCUCUUCGUUUUGAUGCUCCUCUUUUCUGGACCAACUCUGAGCAAGCUGACCCGGACCCCCUGGAAAGGAAAACCUUGGAAGGGGGGUAAGUGAUGAAAGUUUUGUGGUAAGGAUCUG
rnacentral:lncRNA from 1 species